UACGUAGGGUGCGAGCGUUGUCCGGAAUUACUAGGGCGUAAAGGCUCGUAGGCGGCCAACUAAGUCAGACGUGAAAUCCCCCGGCUUAACCAGGGAACUGCGUCUGAUACUGGAUGGCUUGAGUUUGGGAGAGGGAUGCGGAAUUCCAGGUGUAGCGGUGAAAUGCGUAGAUAUCUGGAGGAACACCGGUGGCGAAGGCGACAUCCUGGACCAACACUGACGCUGAGUGAGCGAAAGCCAGGGGAGCAAACGGG
rnacentral:rRNA from 1 species